rnacentral:misc_RNA from 1 species
CACCACCUUGGGAGCUGACUAUUCAGGAAAGGCUAAUCGCAUGGAAUCUCAGUUGGGUUCGUUUGGUUUGCUAGAUUUGUUCAAUAUGGUAUUGCAUUUAUCUAAAGUAUUUAUUCUUUGUUUCUUGUAUUAUUAUUUCUUUGAACAUGAAAUUAGUUAUUUCAUUGGUUAAAUCAGAUAAUGUGGUGUAUUUUCUUAAUCUUUUCAAGUCCUGUAACCUCUUAAAU